rnacentral:rRNA from 1 species
UCAGACGAUGCGUCAUGCAUAUCAAUAAGCGGAGGAAAAGAAACUAACAAGGAUUCCCCUAGUAACGGCGAGUGAAGCGGGAAGAGCUCAAAUUUGAAAUCUUAAAGGGUUUCCCUUUACGAAUUGUAGUUUAAAGAAGUGUUUUCUGUUGAGGUUUUGGUAAAAGUUCUUUGGAAUAGGACAUCAUAGAGGGUGAGAAUCCCGUAUUUGACCUUUACUUUCAACUUUGUGAUACACUUUCAAAGAGUCGGAUUGUUUGGGAAUGCAGUCCAAAAUGGGUGGUAAAUUUCAUCUAAAGCUAAAUAUUGGCGAGAGACCGAUAGCGAACAAGUACCGUGAGGGAAAGAUGAAAAGAACUUUGAAAAGAGAGUUAAACAGUACGUGAAAUUGUCAAAAGGGAAGCGUUUGACACCAGUGUUGUUUUUCUGAAAAUCAAUUAAAGAACUGUUUAUGCUAAGCUGUUUAGACUUUAUCAGCUAUCUGUUUAGUUUUGAGCUUUUCUUUAAUGCACUUUUCAGUUAACAAGUCAACAUCAAUUUCUUUUGCUGUAAAAAAGCUUGAGGAAGGUGGCUUGAGAUUCGUCUUAAGUGUUUAUAGCCUCUUGCCUAUGCAGUCGGAGAGAUUGAGGUCUGCAGCGUAGAUCCUUCGGGGCUAAAUGCAUUUGUGCUAAGUUAUAGCAUUUUAUAGACAACUUGUUGACUAUGAUUUGUCUUGUAGCUUACUCGCUUAUGUUAUUUUACCUACGCUUAGGAUGUUGAGCGCAUGUCUCUCUCU